GUGAGGAAUAUUGCGCAAUGGGCGAAAGCCUGACGCAGCGACGCCGCGUGGAGGAUGAAGGUCUUCGGAUUGUAAACUUCUGUUAAGUGGGAAGAAAGGGCUGUUUUUAAUAGAAGCAGUUAAUGACGGUACCAUUAAAGAAAGCACCGGCUAAACUCGUGCCAGCAGCCGCGGUAAUACGAGUGGUGCAAGCGUUAUUCGGAAUAAUUGGGCGUACAGGGUGUGUAGGCGGUAUGUUAAGUCUGUUGUUAAAGACUCCGGCCUAACCGGAGACAGGCAGCGGAAACUGGCGUACUAGAGGGUGGAAGAGAGAAGUGGAAUUCUCGGUGUAGCGGUAAAAUGCGUAGAUAUCGAGAGGAACACCGAUGGCGAAGGCAGCUUCUUGGUCCAUACCUGACGCUGAAACACGAAAGCGUGGGGAGCAAACAGGAUUAGAAACCCCUGUAGUCC
rnacentral:rRNA from 1 species